CGGGGGAGCAAGCGUUGUUCGGAUUUACUGGGCGUAAAGGGCGCGUAGGCGGCCACCGCAAGUCGACUGUGAAAUCUCCGGGCUUAACCCGGAAAGGUCAGCCGAUACUGCGGGGCUAGAGUGCAGAAGGGGCAACUGGAAUUCUCGGUGUAGCGGUGAAAUGCGUAGAUAUCGAGAGGAACACCUGCGGCGAAGGCGGGUUGCUGGGCUGACACUGACGCUGAUGCGCGAAAGCUAGGGGAGCGAACGGGGUUAGAUACCCCGGUAGUCCUAGCCUUAAACGAUGAAUGCUUGGUGUCUGGGGUUUUAUAGUCCCCGGGUGCCGUCGCUAACGCUUUAAGCAUUCCGCCUGGGGAGUACGGUCGCAAGACUG
rnacentral:rRNA from 1 species